rnacentral:rRNA from 1 species
CCUACGGGAGGCAGCAGUGGGGAAUCUUGCGCAAUGGGCGAAAGCCUGACGCAGCAACGCCGCGUGCGGGAAGAAGGCUUUCGGGCUGUAAACCGCUUUCAGCAGGAACGAAAAUGACGGUACCUGCAGAAGAAGGAGCGGCCAACUAUGUGCCAGCAGCCGCGGUGAUACAUAGGCUUCAAGCGUUGUCCGGAUUUAUUGGGCGUAAAGAGUUCGUAGGCGGUCGAGUAAGUCGGGUGUGAAAAUUCUGGGCUCAACCCAGAGACGCCACCCGAUACUGCUUAACUUGAGUUCGAUAGGGGAGUGGGGAAUUCCUAGUGUAGCGGUGAAAUGCGCAGAUAUUAGGAGGAACACCGGUGGCGAAGGCGCCACUCUGGAUCGAUACUGACGCUGAGGAACGAAAGCAUGGGUAGCAAACAGGAUUAGAUACCCUGGUAGUCCAUGCCGUAAACGGUGGGCACUAGGUGUGGGAUUCUAUUAACGUAUUCCGUCGCCGUCGCUACGCAUAGUGCCCGCCCGUCGGGUAGGUACGGUCGCGAGAACGUAAACUACGAAGAAGUAAGUAGGCGUUGAGACGUUGCCGAACGGCGACGACGAGGGGAGGUUAGG